UACGUAGGGGGCAAGCGUUGUCCGGAUUUAUUGGGCGUAAAGAGCUCGUAGGCGGCUCGGUAAGUCGGAUGUGAAACCUCCAGGCUCAACCUGGAGACGCCAUCUGAUACUGCCGUGGCUUGAGUCCGGUAGAGGAGCAGGGAAUUCCUGGUGUAGCGGUGAAAUGCGCAGAUAUCAGGAGGAACACCAGCGGCGAAGGCGCUGCUCUGGGCCGGUACUGACACUGAGGAGCGAAAGCGUGGGGAGCGAACAGG
rnacentral:rRNA from 1 species